rnacentral:rRNA from 1 species
GACGAACGCUGGCGGCGUGCUUAACACAUGCAAGUCGAACGGAAAGGCCCUGCUUUUGUGGGGUGCUCGAGUGGCGAACGGGUGAGUAACACGUGAGUAACCUUCCCUUGACUUUGGGAUAACUUCAGGAAACUGGGGCUAAUACCGGAUAGGAGCUCCUGCUGCAUGGUGGGGGUUGGAAAGUUUCGGCGGUUGGGGAUGGACUCGCGGCUUAUCAGCUUGUUGGUGGGGUAGUGGCUUACCAAGGCUUUGACGGGUAGCCGGCCUGAGAGGGGGACCGGCCAAAUUGGGACUGAGAUACGGCCCAGCCUCCUACGGGAGGCAGCAGUGGGGAAUAUUGCACAAGGGGCGGAAGCCUGAUGCAGAAACGCGGCGUGCGGGAUGACGGCCUUCGGGUUGUAAACCGCUUUCGCCUGUGACGAAGCGUGAGUGACGGUAAUGGGUAAAGAAGCACCGGCUAACUACGUG